ACCAAGGAGUCUAACAUAUAUGCGAGUCUUUGAGUGAUAAACCCGCAGGCGCAAUGAAAGUGAAGGCUAACAUGAUUAGCUGAGGUGAGAUCCGCAAGGUGCAUCAUCGACCGAUCUGAAUGGUUUCCUGAAAAAUUGAGUAAGAGCACGUAUGUUGUGAAGUCUAAAGAAAUUCGGAGGGAAGCUCGUAGCGAUUUUGACUUGCAAAUCGAUCAUCAAAUUUGAGUAUAGGGGCAAAAGACUAAUCAAACUAUCUAGUAGCUGGUUCCAAUUUUUGU
rnacentral:ncRNA from 1 species